rnacentral:rRNA from 1 species
UACGGAGGAUGCGAGCGUUAUCCGGAUUUAUUGGGUUUAAAGGGUGCGUAGGCGGGCUUUUAAGUCAGCGGUAAAAAUUCGGGGCUCAACCCCGUCCGGCCGUUGAAACUGGGGGCCUUGAGUGGGCGAGAAGAAGGCGGAAUGCGUGGUGUAGCGGUGAAAUGCAUAGAUACCACGCAGAACCCCGAUUGCGAAGGCAGCCUUCCGGCGCCCUACUGACGCUGAGGCACGAAAGUGCGGGGAUCGAACAGG